CCGGCCCGCGGCAGCAGCGCCCGCUCCCCGCCGCCUCCCCGGGCAGGAGCCGCCGCUCCGCGCCUCGGGGGCUGGCCCUGCCCGGGGAGGGCGGCUGCCGGGCCCGGGAAUCCCGGCGCCCUUCACCCGCUCCCUGCUGGCAGGCAGGAAAAGCCUUCGGCAGGCAGCCGCAGGCAGGAGUGCCCCGGUGCGGCAUCUCCCGGACAAACACUCCAGCCUGGAGCAAUGUCAACUCUGAAACCCAACGGGCGAUGGAAAUAGGCCUGCAGUUCCCCGCCACGAUCGGAUGAGUGAGGGCGGAGCCUGGGAAGUCACAGCCAACCUACAGCUCAAGAAGAACUGGUGAGCUCAAGCUAAAUCACAAGCAGGACCUUCAGGUGCAGGGCAGUGGAGAAGCCCAUGGCACACACCCACAGGUCAGUAUGGAUACAAAGCCACAGCAGGGCACUAGUACAAAAGUGCAUUGCUACAGGAACAACCAGAGUAGAUUUUAUUUAAUAAUUUGUACAAGGAACACAAUAGUAAUUCAAUAAUUCCAUUUAUUAAUUGUCAAAUAGUAAUCCACUGCAAUAAGAAAGAAAAAAUCAACACAAAAUAAGUUGCAGUUUGUGUGGUUAUGUGUUGUACGUGUGUGUGUGUGUUUGUGUUUAACUUAAACUGGCGAGAGCAAGAACAGAAAAUUAACCUUUAAAUGAGUAUGUUAUAUACAAUCAAUAUCAACAUGUUACUUUGCUGGAUAGAUUUAUUUGGUGUUAUCCAAUCUUACCAACAGGCCUAAACAUUGUUGCAAAUAACUGGAGGGCAAACCCAAAGCAGAACAACAAACCCAUAAAUAAGAUGCAGGAUUCAAGACAUCUCCUGCAGAAAAUAAACAGUGGUGCUUUGUGUCAUAUCUGAAACCCUUUCAUAAUGAAUAUUUUGUGCUAAAACUCUUUAUGUGAACAUACAUGGAAUUCUAUCAUUUAAAUAAAAGUGGAAAAAAAAUCCCAAC